rnacentral:rRNA from 1 species
CACAUGCAGUCGAACGGAACUGUUUUGAAAGAUUUCUUCGGAAUGAAUUUGAUUUAGUUUAGUGGCGGACGGGUGAGUAACGCGUGAGUAACCUGCCUUCAAGAGGGGGAUAACAUUCUGAAAAGAAUGCUAAUACCGCAUGACAUAUCGGAAUCACAUGGUUUUGAUAUCAAAGAUUUUAUCGCUUGAAGAUGGACUCGCGUCCGAUUAGUUAGUUGGUGAGGUAACGGCUCACCAAGACCGCGAUCGGUAGCCGGACUGAGAGGUUGAACGGCCACAUUGGGACUGAGACACGGCCCAGACUCCUACGGGAGGCAGCAGUGGGGGAUAUUGCGCAAUGGGGGCAACCCUGACGCAGCAACGCCGCGUGAAGGAUGAAGGUUUUCGGAUUGUAAACUUCUUUUAUUAAGGACGAAACUUGACGGUACUUAAUGAAUAAGCUCCGGCUAACUACGUGCCAGCAGCCGCGGUAAUACGUAGGGAGCAAGCGUUGUCCGGAUUUACUGGGUGUAAAGGGUGCGUAGGCGGCUUUGCAAGUCAGAUGUGAAAUCUAUGGGCUCAACCCAUAAACUGCAUUUGAAACUGUAGAGCUUGAGUGAAGUAGAGGCAGGCGGAAUUCCCCGUGUAGCGGUGAAAUGCGUAGAGAUGGGGAGGAACACCAGUGGCGAAGGCGGCCUGCUGGGCUUUAACUGACGCUGAGGCACGAAAGCGUGGGUAGCAAACAGGAUUAGAUACCCUGGUAGUCCACGCUGUAAACGAUGAUUACUAGGUGUGGGGGGUCUGACCCCUUCCGUGCCGGAGUUAACACAAUAAGUAAUCCACCUGGGGAGUACGGCCGCAAGGUUGAAACUCAGAGGAAUUGACGGGGGCCCGCACAAGCAGUGGAGUAUGUGGUUUAAUU